rnacentral:rRNA from 1 species
GAUGAACGCUGGCGGCGUGCCUAAUACAUGCAAGUCGAGCGAACGGACGAGAAGCUUGCUUCUCUGAUGUUAGCGGCGGACGGGUGAGUAACACGUGGAUAACCUACCUAUAAGACUGGGAUAACUUCGGGAAACCGGAGCUAAUACCGGAUAAUAUUUUGAACCGCAUGGUUCAAAAGUGAAAGACGGUCUUGCUGUCACCUAUAGAUGGAUCCGCGCUGCAUUAGCUAGUUGGUAAGGUAACGGCUUACCAAGGCAACGAUGCAUAGCCGACCUGAGAGGGUGAUCGGCCACACUGGAACUGAGACACGGUCCAGACUCCUACGGGAGGCAGCAGUAGGGAAUCUUCCGCAAUGGGCGAAAGCCUGACGGAGCAACGCCGCGUGAGUGAUGAAGGUCUUCGGAUCGUAAAACUCUGUUAUUAGGGAAGAACAUAUGUGUAAGUAACUGUGCACAUCUUGACGGUACCUAAUCAGAAAGCCACGGCUAACUACGUGCCAGCAGCCGCGGUAAUACGUAGGUGGCAAGCGUUAUCCGGAUUUAUUGGGCGUAAAGCGCGCGUAGGCGGUUUUUUAGUCUGAUGUGAAAGCCCACGGCUCAACCGUGGAGGGUCAUUGGAAACUGGAAAACUUGAGUGCAGAAGAGGAAAGUGGGAUUCCAUGUGUAGCGGUGAAAUGCGCAGAGAUAUGGAGGAACACCAGUGGCGAAGGCGACUUUCUGGUCUGUAACUGACGCUGAUGUGCGAAAGCGUGGGGAUCAAACAGGAUUAGAUACCCUGGUAGUCCACGCCGUAAACGAUGAGUGCUAAGUGUUAGGGGGUUUCCGCCCCUUAGUGCUGCAGCUAACGCAUUAAGCACUCCGCCUGGGGAGUACGACCGCAAGGUUGAAACUCAAAGGAAUUGACGGGGACCCGCACAAGCGGUGGAGCAUGUGGUUUAAUUCGAAGCAACGCGAAGAACCUUACCAAAUCUUGACAUCCUUUGACAACUCUAGAGAUAGAGCCUUCCCCUUCGGGGGACAAAGUGACAGGUGGUGCAUGGUUGUCGUCAGCUCGUGUCGUGAGAUGUUGGGUUAAGUCCCGCAACGAGCGCAACCCUUAAGCUUAGUUGCCAUCAUUAAGUUGGGCACUCUAAGUUGACUGCCGGUGACAAACCGGAGGAAGGUGGGGAUGACGUCAAAUCAUCAUGCCCCUUAUGAUUUGGGCUACACACGUGCUACAAUGGACAAUACAAAGGGCAGCGAAACCGCGAGGUCAAGCAAAUCCCAUAAAGUUGUUCUCAGUUCGGAUUGUAGUCUGCAACUCGACUACAUGAAGCUGGAAUCGCUAGUAAUCGUAGAUCAGCAUGCUACGGUGAAUACGUUCCCGGGUCU